rnacentral:rRNA from 1 species
GGCUUGCUCCUGGAUUCAGCGGCGGACGGGUGAGUAAUGCCUAGGAAUCUGCCUGGUAGUGGGGGAUAACGUCCGGAAACGGGCGCUAAUACCGCAUACGUCCUGAGGGAGAAAGUGGGGGAUCUUCGGACCUCACGCUAUCAGAUGAGCCUAGGUCGGAUUAGCUAGUUGGUGGGGUAAAGGCCUACCAAGGCGACGAUCCGUAACUGGUCUGAGAGGAUGAUCAGUCACACUGGAACUGAGACACGGUCCAGACUCCUACGGGAGGCAGCAGUGGGGAAUAUUGGACAAUGGGCGAAAGCCUGAUCCAGCCAUGCCGCGUGUGUGAAGAAGGUCUUCGGAUUGUAAAGCACUUUAAGUUGGGAGGAAGGGCAGUAAGUUAAUACCUUGCUGUUUUGACGUUACCAACAGAAUAAGCACCGGCUAACUUCGUGCCAGCAGCCGCGGUAAUACGAAGGGUGCAAGCGUUAAUCGGAAUUACUGGGCGUAAAGCGCGCGUAGGUGGUUCAGCAAGUUGGAUGUGAAAUCCCCGGGCUCAACCUGGGAACUGCAUCCAAAACUACUGAGCUAGAGUACGGUAGAGGGUGGUGGAAUUUCCUGUGUAGCGGUGAAAUGCGUAGAUAUAGGAAGGAACACCAGUGGCGAAGGCGACCACCUGGACUGAUACUGACACUGAGGUGCGAAAGCGUGGGGAGCAAACAGGAUUAGAUACCCUGGUAGUCCACGCCGUAAACGAUGUCGACUAGCCGUUGGGAUCCUUGAGAUCUUAGUGGCGCAGCUAACGCGAUAAGUCGACCGCCUGGGGAGUACGGCCGCAAGGUUAAAACUCAAAUGAAUUGACGGGGGCCCGCACAAGCGGUGGAGCAUGUGGUUUAAUUCAAACCACGCAAGAACCUUACCUGGCCUUGACUGCUGAGACUUUCC